GUCUUCGUGGUGUAGUGGUCAGCACGCUCGAUUCCUAUUCGAGGGGUCCAUGGUUCGAAUCCUGGCGGAGGCA
rnacentral:tRNA from 1 species